CGAAGAAAAACUUUGCAAUGUGCGAAAGCACGACAAGGUUAAUCCGAGUGGUUUCUGCUAAAGGAACCUUUUGCCAGUCCUAGAAACACUGGUGAAUAAGGGGUGGGCAAGUUCUGGUGUCAGCCGCCGCGGUAAAACCAGCACCUCAAGUGGUCAGGAUGAUUAUUGGGCCUAAAGCAUCCGUAGCCGGCUCUGUAAGUUUUCGGUUAAAUCUGUAUGCUCAACAUACAGGCUGCCGGGAAUACUGCAGAGCUAGGGAGUGGGAGAGGUAGACGGUACUCGGUAGGGAAGGGGUAAAAUCCUUUGAUCUAUUGAUGACCACCU
rnacentral:rRNA from 1 species